CCUACGGGAGGCAGCAGUGAGGAAUAUUGGUCAAUGGGCUUACGCCUGAACCAGCCAAGUCGCGUGAGGGAAGACUGCCCUAUGGGUUGUAAACCUCUUUUGUCAGGGAGCAAUUGGCGCUACGUGUAGCGUUAUCGAGAGUACCCGAAGAAAAAGCAUCGGCUAACUCCGUGCCAGCAGCCGCGGUAAUACGGAGGAUGCGAGCGUUAUCCGGAUUUAUUGGGUUUAAAGGGUGCGUAGGCGGACGGUCAAGUCAGCGGUAAAAAUGCGGUGCUCAACGCCGUACAGCCGUUGAAACUGGCAGUCUUGAGUGGGCGAGAAGUAUGCGGAAUGCGUGGUGUAGCGGUGAAAUGCAUAGAUAUCACGCAGAACUCCGAUUGCGAAGGCAGCAUACCGGCGCCCUACUGACGCUGAGGCACGAAAGCGUGGGUAUCGAACAGGAUUAGAUACCCGUGUAGUC
rnacentral:rRNA from 1 species